GUUGGAUGUAGGGUUAGGAGUUCUGGGUUACUGUAGGAGUGUGGAUUUUUUUGAGGUUACACUAAAAGUUAGGUUCAUAAAAUCAGAUUUCUGUAUGUCAAUAAGAAAGAACUAUCAAAAACGAUUAAUUUCAGCCCUCCAAACAUAGCCUGUAUUUACCAAGGACAAUGGGAAUCAUUCACCAAUAUCUUCCUAAGUUUUUUCUUAAAUUUGUUCUUGAGAAAGGUCCUAUUAAAAGUCUAUGUCAGAUUCAUGACGUGUUCUUAAACUGCAGAAUUGUCUGCAUUUAUGUUCUUAUACUUAUGAAUCCCAUUGUCCUCAUUCAUUGAAAGCGUGUGCAAGUUGUUCCCAAUUCACAUAUGUAAAUGCCCCACCAAUCCCCAUAAAAGGGCAUGAGACUGGAGGGCCGUGUGCACAUACAGAAAUCACACACCGAAAUUCAAAAGAAAUGUUGACAGAGGUCAAGAAUGCCCAAACCAAAAUCUAAAAACUGUGGAGCACCUGAAUCCAAACGUUUAAAAAAUCUUCAGUAGUUCUGAAGUGGAGGUGCUGCUGCAGGAAAGGAACAGCAAACAAGCUGUCAUAUUCAGUAGCAUCAGUAGUGGAUAUAAAAUAACAACAAAAAAGAUGCAUGGGAUGAUUUUACUGGUUCAGUAAACACUGCAUCCUGACAAGGGUGCACAACUGAGGAUGUAAAAAAAAAUUAUAUUGCAAACAUAGAAGAAUAAUUAAAAUAAAUUCUGAAAUUUUAUUUUAAAUUCAAUCCUAUCUAUUUUACAUAACUGUAGGUUUGAAGAAAACGCAAUAACUAAUUAUUUGGCACAAACAUGUCAGCACUCAAAUGUGCGUGUGAUCUUCAGUGUGUGUAGAUUUUGUUACCUAAGAACAAAUCCCAAAUAUGAAAACAUUGGUGAUUGUCAGAAUCUUUGAGGAAACUGCAUAGGUGGGUUUUAAGAAGGAAUUUCUUCUUAAGAAUGGUUGGUGAAUGAGGCCCAUUGUCAGGGGGAGUUGAAUGUACUCAGCUAGAUCUAAAUAAACCCUCAGAGAGAUUUUACCUGAGACAAAAGCUUUAUGCUAUCAUAUAUCCUUCAGCAUGCAUCUUUUGCGUAAGUGUAGAAGCCAUUUAGGUCAAUGUACUCAAUGUACAGUCAUUGUACAGGCUUCCACUAUAUCAGAUAUACAUCACAUACUACAACAGUUUAAAUACAUAUACAGCACAAAGGAUUUUCCAUUCCUGUUGGGACACUGAAACAAACACCACUUUCAUAUAUACGCUGGGGAAAAAGCUAGAUUGCUGAAUGAGAGCAUGAUCUACAGUUACAUCAAAAAGAUUUCACUCAGUCAUUUCAGUUAUUCCAAGCCGUAAGAACAUCCUGGGAGAGAAUGCCAAUAAGCCUUAUAAAACAGGCAUUUGUGGCCAGGAUUUCUUUGUUUGAUUCCUGUGGCCACCAACAUGUAAAAUACAUGCCCACAUGACUGCACAUCUCUUUGGAUAAAAGCCUCUGUUAAAUGGUUCAACAAGAAACAACUUUCCACAUUUGGUAUGACUGAGACUGAGUAGUAGCAGCACCAAAAGAUUUCCAUCAAAGUAAGAACUAUAAUGAAUUUCCACUUACUACCCAACUAAAACUUAGGAUAAGUGCUUAGCUGUCAUAUAUUAAUUUUAAUUUACAGCCAGUUUAUAACUCAAUGUUACAACCACUGAUCAGGUUUUGAUGCUAAUCCUGUGGAAUCCAACAACACACAGGUUCAAUGAAUUUACUUACUUCAGAAACACUUCUGCAGGGAAACUGACGUUGUCUUGAAUUUGUAUUAAUGAAUCAAGUUUCUUCAAGAGUGUUGGAAUAUGAGAUACAAGGGCCGUUAUCUAGAUCCCUGCGAGGUUGAUAGAGUUCAGGGGCUUGGAGACAUCUUUAUUAUGGAGAUUUACCCAGCAG
ensembl:lncRNA